AUGAUCUUGACUCACUGCAGCCUCGACUUCCUGGGCUCAAGUGAUCCAUCUCAGCCUCCUGUGUCGCUCUAACCACAGGCACGUGCCACCAUGCCUGGCUAUUUUUUUGUUGAGCUGGGCUCUCACUUUGUUGCCCAGGCUGGUCUUGAACUCCUCAGCUGAAGCAGUCCUUCCCACUCAGCCUCCCGUAGUGUUGGGAAUACAGGCGUGCACCACUGCACCUGCUCCAGCCACUUGUAUAAAACCACUGACCUGUGUGUGGAGGACAGGCCAGGUGUGUGCUCACUGCACUGCGAAGAUGGGUCAUCACGUGACUUUCACCAGUUUUCCAUUUCUCUUUUUCUGCUUUCCUCAAAAACCAAUACAAGACUGGGUGCGGUGGCUCACACCUGUAAUCCCAGCACUUUGGGACGCUGCAGCUGGCGGAUCACAAGGUCAGGGGUUUGAGACCAGCCUGGCCAACAUGAUGAAACCUCGUCUCCACUAAAAAUACAAAAAUUAGCUGGGUGUGAUGGUGGGUGCCUGUAAUCCCAGCUACUCAGGAGGCUGAGGGAGGAGAAUUGUUUGAACCCUGGAGGUGGAGGUUGCGGUGAGCCGAGAUCGUGCCAUUGCACUCCAGCCUGGGCAACGGCAAGACUGUCUCAAAAACACUUAGAAAAUGCCCUGGAGGUGGCAGAGGGUUGUAGAUAUGUGAGGCCAACCCCCAGGGUGGCCCUGUCCGCCUCCCCAUUGAGAAUGGCUGCCAGGCUUCCCACUAACCUCUGAAGAUGACGGUCUGGUGUAAGAAGAGGUGCAGGUGCCUGAUUCUGAGCACCUUGGACUUUCUCGCCGCACAUCCUCUGGUGCCCUCUCUUCCACCCUGACAAGGAGCUUCCAGCCUCUUUUGAUUUUCUGUUUGUGGACCAGAAACACGUUUUUCCAAAUGAUGAGCAAAUAGGGUGAUUUCCUUUGUAAUGCUGCUCUGGGGCCUCUUCCUCAUCCUGGCAGAAGCAGCCUGGAUACCAUGCAGCAGCCGACACUGUGCACUUGCUCAGGCUUGCUGUCCCCUCCCUCUCCCUCAGUCUCCUCUCCAUGCCCAAGUUGGUUUCCAGCCGCUGGUCUUCACGGCAUUCCCAGUACAGCCAGGCACCAAGAGGCAAUACCCAAGGCCUGGCUUGGCCAUGUUAACGAUUGUACAGAUAUAUAUUUUUAAAUAACUUUUAUGUAAUACUUUUCUAGAAUAGUAAGUUCUUGUUAACUGUCACAGAUGUCCUAGAAACACCAGGUGUUACUUCCACUGAGUGUGUCCAUGGUCGUGGUCUGUGCCUUUGUAAACAGAACACUUGAACCACCUCCCGAAUUGGGUCAUCUGCUUCCUGAAAUUGACACUUAAGAGAUGUGCAUCUCUCUAACUUUCAAGGAAACUUCCCCACUAAAUAGCAUGAAAAGGUUUAAAUAAAAUCUGAGAGUCCCAAUUCCCUCUAUAACAGUGUUAAAAUAAUCUGUCUGCCUGGAAAGACGAAAACACUCUUGCACAACCCAAAAUGUGUCUUUAAUUUCUGAAAAAUUAACAUGGUGAGUCAAACAGUCAUUUUAAAGAGCUGAGCAAAGAAUAUCAUCAGCCAAAUAGAGCUCUGCUUUGUAGGGUGCCUUUAAACUCCUUGCCACAAAACCAGUGAGCUCUGCUUGCUGCUGCCGCGCUCCUGGAUGAUCACUUAGAUGGGUCAGUGGGAAUAAUGGGCGAACAAGACAGUUCUUUACAUCUGUCCAAAUGGUGUCCUUUCUCAGGCCUGGAAGUAUUUCAUUGCUGGAAGAAGGAAACAAGAAUGUCAUUGCAGAUAGGAACAGACUUCUCUCGUUUACCUUUGACCAACAUGGUACUGAGGGGUUUAUUUUUUUUUUAUUAUUUAUUUAUUUUUUUUUUUUUUGAGACGGAGUCUUGCUGUGUCACCCAGGCUGGAGUGCAGUGGCCCGAUCUCGGCUCACUGUAAGCUCCGCCUCCCGGGUUUACGCCAUUCUCCUGCCUCAGCCUCCGAGUAGCUGGGACUACAGGCGCCCGCCACUGCGCCCGGCUAGUUUUUUGUAUUUUUUAGUAGAGACGGGGUUUCACCAUGUUAGCCAGGAUGGUCUCGAUCUCCUGACCUCGUGAUCCACCCGCUUCGGCCUCCCAAAGUGCUGGGAUUACAGGCUUGAGCCACCGUGCCCGGCCCUGAGGGGUUUAUUGUUUCCCAGCGCACGUGCGUGCCCUACUGGGGGCCUCACUUUAUAGAACGAGAGUGUCCGAGCUCCCCUAAUGAAUCUGACUAGGUCUCUCCUGGCUGAGGAUACAGGAGUGGGACAUCCACCCUCAGAUCCCUCAGAGCACAGAAACCUUCAGCUUGGCUGUCUCAAGUAUUUCUUCCAGUUUCCCUGUGGGCGUCUGAUGUUUGAGUUUGAUGGCUGCUAGAUCCUCAACGAAAACUCAGUUGGAAACUUCCAACUCGCAGUCCUAGUUUGUUUGUUGUUUUCCAUUUCAUUUCACUUACAGCUGAAAGUGACAUUCAGCUGACUUGCUCAUUUAAACUGUUCACAGAGUCUGAACUGCCAACGUGGCCAUUGGAGGCUCCAUCUUUUAAGAGGGCCACAGACUUUCCCACAUGGGAAAACUUGAAAAUUACAUCAACAAUUGACGUCAGAGCCAAAUUAUAUUUCCUUUAUACCAAACUGUGGAGAACUAAAAGUACAUUGUACAAAAUGUUUCUAGUGUUUUGUAUGUGACCUAUUUCAAUAUUUAUAUUACUAGAUCAGUGCUUUCCAGCAAAUGAUUCUGUUAAAUAAUGUAGCCAGUCGCUGUUAAUUCUGCAGCAGUGAUAAGCUGAUACUGUGCAACUAAUCCUGUGGACGCUUCCUGCUUAUUUUUGUCUAAACUAAGUUAAUCAUGAUAGCAGCUAUGAUUCUUGCUCAGCAAAGUAAAAUAAAUGUUAAAUAUGGA